rnacentral:rRNA from 1 species
CGGAAUGCUUUACACAUGCAAGUCGAACGGCAGAGGACUUCGGUCUGGUGGCGAGUGGCGAACGGGUGAGUAAUAUAUCGGAACGUGCCCAGUCGUGGGGGAUAACGUAGUGAAAAUUACGCUAAUACCGCAUACGAUCUAAGGAUGAAAGCGGGGGAUCGCAAGACCUCGCGCGAUUGGAGCGGCCGAUAUCAGAUUAGGUAGUUGGUGGGGUAAAGGCUCACCAAGCCAACGAUCUGUAGCUGGUCUGAGAGGACGACCAGCCACACUGGAACUGAGACACGGUCCAGACUCCUACGGGAGGCAGCAGUGGGGAAUUUUGGACAAUGGACGCAAGUCUGAUCCAUCCUUUCCGCGUGCAGGACGAAGGCCUUCGGGUUGUAAUCUGCUUUUGUACAGAACGAAAAGGUCUCUAUUAAUACUAGGGGCUCAUGACGGUACUGUAAGAAUAAGCACCGGCUAACUACGUGCCAGCAGCCGCGGUAAUACGUAGGGUGCAAGCGUUAAUCGGAAUUACUGGGCGUAAAGCGUGCGCAGGCGGUUAUAUAAGACAGAUGUGAAAUCCCCGGGCUCAACCUGGGAACUGCAUUUGUGACUGUAUAGCUGGAGUGCGGCAGAGGGGGAUGGAAUUCCGCGUGUAGCAGUGAAAUGCGUAGAUAUGCGGAGGAACACCGAUGGCGAAGGCAAUCCCCUGGGCCUGCACUGACGCUCAUGCACGAAAGCGUGGGGAGCAAACAGGAUUAGAUACCCUGGUAGUCCACGCCCUAAACGAUGUCAACUG